AGCAGCCGCGGUAAUUCCAGCUCCAAUAGCGUAUAUUAAAGUUGUUGCAGUUAAAAAGCCCGUAGUUGAAUUUCGGGAUUGACACAUCGGUCGUGCCUUAAGGGGUAUGAACUGGUGUAGUCAAUUUCUCACCUUCUGGAGAACCGCGAUGCCCUUAAUUGGGUGUCGCGGGGAACCAGGACCUUUACUUUGAAAAAAUUAGAGUGUUUAAAGCAGGCAUUUUGCUUGAAUACAUUAGCAUGGAAUAAUAAAAUAGGACGGCAUGAUUCUAUUUUGUUGGUUUCUAGGAUCACCGUAAUGAUUAAUAGGGAUAGUUGGGGGCAUUAGUAUUCAAUUGUCAGAGGUGAAAUUCUUGGAUUUAUUGAAGACUAACUACUGCGAAAGCAUUUGCCAAGGAUGUUUUCAUUAAUCAAGAACGAAAGUUAGGGGAUCGAAGACGAUCAGAUACCGUCGUAGUCUUAACCAUAAACUAUGCCGACUAGGAAUCAGACGAUGUUAAUUUUUAAUGACUCGUUUGGCA
rnacentral:rRNA from 1 species